UACGGAGGGGGCUAGCGUUGUUCGGAAUUACUGGGCGUAAAGAGCGCGUAGGCGGUCUAUUAAGUUGGGAGUGAAAUCCCAGGGCUUAACCCUGGAAUGGCUUUCAAAACUAUUAGACUAGAGAGCGAUAGAGGAUGGUGGAAUUCCUAGUGUAGAGGUGAAAUUCUUAGAUAUUAGGAGGAACACCGGUGGCGAAGGCGGCCAUCUGGGUCGUUUCUGACGCUGAGGCGCGAAAGCGUGGGGAGCAAACAGG
rnacentral:rRNA from 1 species